UUUUUUUUUGGGGUAGCCCCCAAAAUAUUGGGACAUAUAAAAAAGGAAAAAAAAGAAUAAGUGCACUUGAGUAUAACAAUGGCUGAGUGAGGCCGGUAUAAAUGUCUAUUCUGCACAAGGUACAGACAAGUCUGGUGGGAUCCAUGCCUGGUUCAUUUUAAUAAACAUGAGCUUGUCCAUGUUGGCCAUGGACAGGCGGCUGCACUUGUCUGUGAUAACCUUGUGCCGAUCGUACGUCCCCGUGACGGCGACAACGCAUUUGGAUGUCUGCCCUAUCAACUUUCAAUGCAAUUUUCCGCGCAUACCAUGGUGACCACGAGUAACGGGGAAUCAGGAUUCGAUUCCAGAGAGGGAGCCUGAGAAACAGCUACCACAUGCAAGGAAGCAGCAGGCGCGUAAAUUUCUCACUCCCGACACGGGGAGGUAGUGACGACAAAUAACAAUACACUACUCUUUCGAGGCCCUGUAAUUGUAAUGAGUCCACUUUAAAUCCUUUAACUUGGAUCAAUUGGAGGGCAAGUCUGGUGGAGAGCGACUGACCCGUGCGGGCUGCAGCUGAAACUCCACUA
rnacentral:rRNA from 1 species